UGGGGAAUAUUGCGCAAUGGGGGAAACCCUGACGCAGCAACGCCGCGUGGAGGAUGAAGGCCUUCGGGUCGUAAACUCCUGUCAGGUGGGAAGAAUAGGUUGCAACUAACAAUUGCAACUGUUGACGGUACCACCAGAGGAAGCCCCGGCUACCUCCGUGCCAGCAGCCGCGGUAAUACGGAGGGGGCAAGCGUUAUUCGGAAUCAUUGGGCGUAAAGGGCGCGUAGGCGGCCUGGCAAGUCAAAGGUGAAAUCCCUCGGCCCAACCGAGGAACCGCCCUUGAAACUGCAAGGCUCGAGGCCGGGAGAGGGUAGCGGAAUUCCCAGUGUAGCGGUGAAAUGCGUAGAUAUUGGGAGGAACACCAGUGGCGAAGGCGGCUACCUGGACCGGUUCUGACGCUGAGGCGCGAAAGCGUGGGGAGCAA
rnacentral:rRNA from 1 species